AUCUUCCUCAAAAAAAAUAGUGAGCACCUUGUCUGUGCCAGCCUUGUGCUAGGGGCUGGGACACAGCAUGAGUAAGACAUGGUUUCUCCUCCCAAGGAGCCCACUGCCGAGCGGGGGAGACAGACAGGAGCAGAUGGUGUGGCCGUGGGGCCUGCAAUGGGCCUCACUGAGGCCUGAGCUGAGAGAAGGAAACAUCCUGGAGAAGCUGAGACUUCAAGGAAGAGUCGCUUUCCUGGUGAACCCUUGAGGGAGGACCUUCCAGGCAGAGGUGGGGAAACCAGCUUUGCCUUUCUCCUAGCUCUACUGAGCUCCCGUCUUACUUCUACUCUACACCAGGACAGAGUCCACCUGACACUUCUGAAUGACGGGACGUCCUUCAUCUUCUGCUGGAGAUUUAGAGACAGACUUCCAACAAGGAAAGCCAGGCCUCUGGCCAAGGACACCCCUGAACACAGAGCAGAGAGGAGCCGAAACAGGACACUGAAGACAUCCAGGCCGCCCAGACCCACAGACUGCGCCCCGACCCUACCUCCCCUGCAGUUAGUGCAGGAGGAUGAGACAGAGCAAGGUCACCCAUCAGGAUGCUGUCUCUCUAGCGCCCUCUGCCGGGUUCUCAUGAGAAGACCCCCUUGACAGGAGGAGACAAGGAGUCGUUGCAAGGAGCCAGACAGACAGGUGGUGAAGGACAGCGCUGGACAGGUGUGAGACUGCUCUAUGAGGCCAUUCAUCUCAUAAAUAGUUGCUGAGUACCAAAGACGUGCCGGGCGCUAUUCCAGUGCCAGGGAUAUGAACGGAUGAGACAAGGCCUUCCGGUGGAGCAAGCAUCCUGGGUGAUCGCAGAGAGAGAAUAAACAAAUACAUAGCGUCGGCAGUAAAAAGCGCUACACGUAGAGAAACAAAACAGAAUAAGAGAUAGGAAGUGAUGCAAAUGGGACUCAAAAUAGGGCACUCAGGGAAGGCCUUAUGAGGAAGUGACCUUUGGGCGAAGAUCUAAAUAAAGCGAGGGAGUGAAGUGUGCAGAUCUCGGAAGGAAGAAUUUUCGGGCAGAGGGGAAGCGAAGGCCAAGGCCCUGAGACGGGAAGGUACGUGGGGCGUCUGAGGAACGAUGAGGGGUCACUGCGCCUGAGCAGGGAGCAGGGCCGGGAGGCUGGGCAGUGGCAGGGGCAACAUGUAGAACUAGCUGGAGAUAGUAAGGACUUGAGCUUUUAUUUCAAGUGAAGAGAACUGUCUUUGGAGGAUUACUAUUAUUAUUUAUUAAUCAUAUUAAUCACCUAUUAAUAUUAUCCAGUGCUAUGCUAUGGCAUGUUAUGAUUGCUCUAGCUACCACUUCUUGAGCAUUUAGUCUAUGCCAACUGGAUUAGGUGCGUCAGAUUAAUCAUCCCAUUUAAUCUUCCCGACCUCCUUGAGGCAGGGACUUUGCCAUCUCAGUUUUACUGCUGGGGAAACUGAGGCUCGGAGAAGCCUUGCCCAAGAUCUUUCAUUUAUUCCACAAAUAGUUAUGAGCACCUUUUGUAUGCUCUUUCGAAGUGCUAGGACACACAGCUUUAACUCACAGGGUCGUGAUUAGAACCCUGCUCUGCAUCCCAAGAGCCAGCACUCAGCCCCACUAUGCCCUGCUGGGGGGGGACGGAAGAAGAGGAAGAAAUGAAGGCAGCCAUCCCAGCGGCAGGGAGCUCCUCCUUCCUGAAGGCGUGUGGGCGGAAGGGGCUGAGCACACGAAGGUGCCGGCGCCUCUGAGUGUUGGGCCAAAGGACUGGAAGUGAGAACACUCAGGUUCCAAGUCCCCCUGUGUGCGCUGAGCUGUGUACCCCGUGAUGGAUCUGCUGCAGUCCUAACUCCGGGUACCUGGGAAUGUGACCUUAUGUGGAAAUCGGGUCUUUGCAGCUGUGAUCAAGUUAAGACCACGUCGUUAGGGUGGACCCUAAUCCAAUAUGACGCUGUCCUUGUAAGAAGAGACUCACAGAGACACACAGGGAGAAGGCCGUACUACGACCAAGGCAGAGAGAGCAGUGACGUCCCUACAAGCAAGGAACACCAAGCAUUGCCACCACCCCCACAAGCUAAGGGACAGGCAUGGACAGAUUCUCCCCUGGAGCCUUCAGAUGCCCUGCUGCCAUCUUGAUUCUGGACUUGUGGCCUCCAGAACCGUGAGAGAGUAAGUUUCUAUCGUUUUAAGCUGCCCAGUUUUUGGUACUUUGAUGCAGCAGCUCUAGGAAACCGAUAAACCUCCCGCCUCCCUCGCCACCACCCCAUCCAGGGCCUGUCCCCUCCCGUCUGCUCCCAGAACCCAACAGCUGCGUCACGACACAGCUGGGUGCGAAAGGUGAGGGACGACUCGGAUGAAUGAACGAAGGAAUGAACGAGUGGGUGGUGGAGCUCUAUUUAAUUCUGAGAAAAACUAACUCUUUGCAGACAAUUACUGCACUAGUCAUUGACUUUAGCACUGAAAAGUUAUGUCAAAAGAAAACAUGUAAAGUUAAUCCUAUUAAAAAUUUUCAUAAUUUGGGGCAGCGGGACCUUCCUAAGCACGGCAUCAAGGGCAGUUGCAGAUUUUGUGGGGCCUGAAGUUUAUAUAAUUUGAGAAGCCCUUUUAAGAAAAAGAAUCCAAAAUUACAAAUACAAAAUUAGGUCCAGCACCUUGAAAGGGGUCCCAGCAGGGGCGGGGGUCUUGAAACAUAAGCUUCUUGAACUCCCCUUCUGUAUAAACAACAGAAGAUCAGAAACCAUAACGAAAAAUAUUGAUGAAGGGGCUGGCCCCGUUGCUGAGUGGUUAAGUUCACGUGCUCUGCUUCGGCGGCCCAGGCUUUCACUGGUUCGG